CGGACGGGUGAGUAAUGUCUGGGAAACUGCCUGAUGGAGGGGGAUAACUACUGGAAACGGUAGUUAAUACCGCAUAACGUCGCAAGACCAAAGAGGGGGACCUUCGGGCCUCUUGCCAUCGGAUGUGCCCAGAUGGGAUUAGCUAGUAGGUGGGGUAACGGCUCACCUAGGCGACGAUCCCUAGCUGGUCUGAGAGGAUGGCCAGCCACACUGGAACUGAGACACGGUCCAG
rnacentral:rRNA from 1 species